rnacentral:lncRNA from 1 species
GAAGUUUUUUGAGAAGCAGGAGCGGAAAGAGGAAGACUGCUUUACAAAGCACAACCAAGAGGAAACUGCAAAGCUAGGCAAAGACAGGGACGGUCCACCCCUGCCAGCUAGUCCAUCUUUAACUGAGCACACAAAGCCAGCAGUGAUUUCACACUCACUCUAGACAAAUGAAAACCAAAAGUGAGAUGCAACCAAUCUUUGCAGGCAGCCAGCCACUAAUAACUAGAUCCAGCAACUGGCUGAGUCAAGCACAUCACUUCCUAGCUCUGGCCCUGUUUCCCCGGCUAUCGAAAGGCCUCAUUGACUUGUGGAAACACAGGGCAGGCUCACCUGUCAGGCUGAGACUCUUGCAAACUCAGGCCAGGAAGCUCCAGGGUUGUCUACCAAAAUGUUCUCUUGGAUUUGGAUUCCCCACACACUGGGAGAUAGCCUACAGCACCCCUCCCAAUGGAAGAUUCUGCAGUAACAAGGUUCUCUACAUCUGCACAGUCCAACAUGUACCAACUACUGAGCACUUGACAUGCAUGGGUAGUGCAACUAAAGAACUGAAUUUCUGACUAUAGUUCUGUUAGUUUCAAUUCAAA